GAUGAACGCUAGCGGCGGGCUUAAUACAUGCAAGUCGAGGGGCAGCACGAUGUAGCAAUACAUUGGUGGCGACCGGCGGACGGGCGCGUAACACGUAUGCAACUUGUCCUAUACUGGGAGAUAGCCCGAAGAAAUGCGGAUUAAUACCCCAUAGUAAUACGAAGUGGCCCCACUUUGUGGUUAAAGCUCCGGCGGUUGAAGAUGAACAUGCGUGACAUUAGCUGGUUGGUGGGGUAACGGCUCACCAAGGCUACGAUGGCUAGGGGUUCUGCGAGGAUGAUCCCCCACACUGGUACUGAGACACGACACAGACUCCUACGGGAGGCAGCAGUAAGGAAUAUUGGACAAUGGACGCAAGUCUGAACCAGCCAUGCCGCGCGAAGGAUGACGGCCCUAUGGGUUGUAAACUUCUUUUGUACGGGAAUAAACCCAGGUACGUGUACCUGGCUGAAUGUACCGUAAGAAUAAGGAUCGGCUAACUCCGUGCCAGCAGCCGCGGUAAAAC
rnacentral:rRNA from 1 species